rnacentral:rRNA from 13 species
GGUUAAGCGACUAAGCGUACACGGUGGAUGCCCUGGCAGUCAGAGGCGAUGAAGGGCGUGCUAAUCUGCGAUAAGCGCCGGUAAGGUGAUAUGAACCGUUAUAACCGGCGAUACCCGAAUGGGGAAACCCAGUGUGACUCGUCACACUAUCAUUAACUGAAUCCAUAGGUUAAUGAGGCGAACCGGGGGAACUGAAACAUCUAAGUACCCCGAGGAAAAGAAAUCAACCGAGAUUCCCCCAGUAGCGGCGAGCGAACGGGGAGGAGCCCAGAGCCUGAAUCAGCAUGUGUGUUAGUGGAAGCGUCUGGAAAGGCGCGCGAUACAGGGUGACAGCCCCGUACACAAAAGCGCAUGUGCUGUGAGCUCGAUGAGUAGGGCGGGACACGUGGUAUCCUGUCUGAAUAUGGGGGGACCAUCCUCCAAGGCUAAAUACUCCUGACUGACCGAUAGUGAACCAGUACCGUGAGGGAAAGGCGAAAAGAACCCCGGCGAGGGGAGUGAAAAAGAACCUGAAACCGUGUACGUACAAGCAGUGGGAG